GCCGAAUAUGGGGAAGUGCUUUGUACCCUGUAAAUACCAUUACAAAUGUAAUAUGUUAUUUCCUGUGGACUCGGCAAUUUGUAUAACUCGCUCUUUUGCAUUUCUGCUUCUCCCCGUUGUUCUAGUGUGUUCAAGUCCAGAGGGCGGGAUCACACGAGCCUGCACAGCCGGCAGGGGCAUGAGGAGGCACAGGACUGCGGUAGCUUCUCUCCAAAGACGCCUGAGAAAACUGCCCUCCUUGCUCUUUUAUCAACCUUCCUGCGUUCUCACUGGGUAGAGCUCUGCUGGGGAAGGAAGUGGCCAUGAUCCCAGGCAUUUACUGCCUGUUCCCCGCACCUGCUAUUUGAGAGGAGCUUUCAAUCUGAAGUGCCUGUAGCUGCAGUCGCUUGGACGCCAGUGUCCGAGUUCUCCAGCUUGCCUGGCCCUCUGGCCUGAGAGCUGGGCGGAAGCCUCCCGACGUCUGUGUGGACUCUGUUUCUCUGGUUUCUCUCUGGCCCAGUUUCCUGUUCACCUCUGUCCUCUGCUGUCUGGUAGGCUUGACUCAUAGGAAACCACAGCCAAGUCACCUAGUGGUCUGACUCACUGACCUUUGGAGCAUCUCUUUCUUAAAAAACAAUAAAGACAAAAGUAAGCGCCUAAGUAAGUACUGUAUUUUGUAAUAGAUUUCAGCUAAGUAUUGCACUACAUGGUUACUUCUGGGAAGUCCCCACUUGUGACUUAUCUUUGGCAACUGUGCUAUAAGCAAAUCAUUUUAUCUCCUAGCAACCGACUCCCCUCCCCCCUCCCUCCUGUGUAUCCACAAGUGUUUGCUGAGAACCCUCUCUGUCCAGGGACUACAUUAGGUUCCAAGCACAAAAAUGAAGGCAUACAAUAGUCCUCAACAAGCUGCUGAUGCCCAUGAGAAAGAGGCCAGCGAAGAUGUGUAAACAAGUAUGAGGAGUCCACCAGCAAGGGGCAGCACAGGGGGCCCUGAACUCAGCCUCGGAAUUGCCCUGACCACAUGGCCGCAUGUGGGCACAGCAGGUGAGGGGAGCGGGAGAGACAGUCUAGGCGGCAUCAGAUGAGUCUCUGCCACAUUCCUUUGUGGUCAGCUGACAUGCUGUCUUCAAUGGCAGCUUUUACUGGGGCCACCUGAGGUUGCACUCCUUCCAGACACGGGUGAGCUCCGAGGGGGAGGAUGUGGACGAGGGGUUAGACUGGAAGGGAAAUGGAGGAGAGGGAGCUCUACAGCACUGACACUAGUCAGGGGAGGCUCACAGCAGGGACUGUCCCCAUCAGUGCUGUGAGGACGGGACUGCAAUGCCCAGGUGAUCUGUUGCUGGGGAAGUGCCCCCAUAACCCUAAUGGGGAAGAGUCAGUUCAGAAGGGACAAUAUGCUAGUAGCUGACGCUUCUGGCACCCUGUGACAAAUGCCCUCAACACACCUAUGAUUUUUGUCACAGAUCUGGUAGAAAGUGCAGCGUGGGCUCCCAUGACAAUGCCCUCUUUAUGUUUUCUGCCUCAAAGCCACAUCUGAAGCUGGGAGCCCACUCAGCCCCCAAGCAAGCACAACCUGCGAGUGUGGAGAGGUGACACUCUAGGAGCCAUCUCCAACCAGUGAAGAGUGAGAGCCAGCAGACACGUCUAGCCACUCAUCCUUUGGAGGGAACAUUCUAGGAGGCAUUCUGCACACUUGCCAACGGUCACAGAAGAAUCGAGCUGCUGCUGCCCAUAGCAGCAACCUUAAUGAUGACACUCAAUGGCUUUUCAUUCUUCCCUGCCUCACUCUCUCCCUUUCCUUUCACCUCUGCUUUUUGAGAUCUCCCAAAUAAACCACCUGCACCAAGUCCUUGUCUCUAGUCUCAGGCUGUAAUUUAAGGGAGCCUAAACUAAGAGAGCAAUAUUAUUAACGUUGAAGUUUCGAAGUAAGAAGCAUUUGAAGGUCCACGCUCAGUCUCGUUAGAAUACCAUCUGCUGCCUGUGCUAUCACCAUUUAUUUCUGAGCCAGAGGAAAGCAGAGUUCCAAAACAGGCUUUGAAAACCCUCUGACCCUCAGGAAAUGGCUGCCAUUCAGUCAGGCUGUGCGAAGGGCUCAGUAAUACAGAAAGCGAACACAGCCUCAUGGGGGCCUUAGUACAGAGACUCAAUUUAGCAGGUGAGAAGGAAUUCCAGUUUAACUCAGGGGAAAGCUAUUAGAUAAUAUUCUUUUCCCUAGUCAGAAUGGUUACGUUGAAAAAAACACACACACAUUGCUUAGGAGGGUUAAUGGAUAAGAAAAGAUUGGGACAAUGAGAUUCUAUAUGAACUAAAACGCUUACAAAUACUGUUACAAUCAUAAAAGCAUGCUGAAUUAUGAAAAUAACAAAGGAGUCCAGGCGCGCUGGCUCACGCCUGUAAUCCCAGCACUGUGGGAGGCCGAGGCAGGUGGAUCAUGAGGUCGAGACCAUCCUGGUCAACAUGGUGAAACCCCUCUCUACUAAAAAUACAAAAAAUUAGCUGGGCAUGGUGGCGCGUGCCUGUAAUCCCAGCUACUCAGGAGGCUGAGGCAGAAGAAUUGCCUGAACCCAGGAGGCAGAGCUUGUGGUGAGCCGAGAUCACGCCAUUGCACUCCAGCCUGGGUAACAAGAGCGAAACUCUGUCUCAAAAAAUAAAUAAAAAAUAACAAAGGAAUUUUAUACUUCAAAAAUGAAAAUACAAGUUAAUAGACACAAGAUGGUUGACAAAGCAUCUGGUACAUGCUUUCUCUGCAAAGAACUGAAUGGUGAGUGGAUAAUCACACUUAGAAUAGAUCAUCUGAGAGAGAACUCUGGAAUGCAACAGGAGAGUGACAGGAAACACCCAAAGCAAGGAAGGAGAGGAAAGCAAGGCGGCCUGCUGGGCUGAGACUGGCUGGCAGUGUGGAGAGGCUCCCCAAUGCAGGGAGAGGGUGAGACCCCCAGUGGUCUACAUUCUCCACAUAGACUCCUGCAAGCCACGCAAGAACCACUUCACCACUAAGGCUGAAGUGCAAGCUGCUGCCGCAUUCACGGGCCCUGAGGAAAGACACUCCCACCU
ensembl:lncRNA